rnacentral:tRNA from 1 species
GCGGGGGUAGCCAAGCCUGGCCAACGGCGGCAGUGAAAAUCUGCUCCCUUAGGGGUUCGUGGGUUCAAAUCCCACCCCCCGCA